UGUUUCUGUAGAUGAAUCAGCUGAUGUUC
rnacentral:piRNA from 1 species